ACUGGAUACGACCUUCCCACGCAUGUGGUGUUGGUGGAAAGCUUUUGUGGUUUUGGAUGGACUCGCGGCCUAUCAGCUUGUUGGUGGGGUAAUGGCCUACCAAGGCGACGACGGGUAGCCGGCCUGAGAGGGUGGACGGCCACACUGGGACUGAGACACGGCCCAGACUCCUACGGGAGGCAGCAGUGGGGAAUAUUGCACAAUGGGCGCAAGCCUGAUGCAGCGACGCCGCGUGAGGGAUGAAGGCCUUCGGGUUGUAAACCUCUUUCAGUAGGGAAGAAGCGAAAGUGACGGUACCUGCAGAAGAAGCGCCGGCUAACUACGUGCCAGCAGCCGCGGUAAUACGUAGGGCGCAAGCGUUAUCCGGAAUUAUUGGGCGUAAAGAGCUCGUAGGCGGUUUGUCGCGUCUGCCGUGAAAGUCCGGGGCUUAACUCCGGAUCUGCGGUGGGUACGGGCAGACUUGAGUGAUGUAGGGGAGACUGGAAUUCCUGGUGUAGCGGUGAAAUGCGCAGAUAUCAGGAGGAACACCGAUGGCGAAGGCAGGUCUCUGGGCAUUAACUGACGCUGAGGAGCGAAAGCAUGGGGAGCGAACAGGAUUAGAUACCCUGGUAGUCCAUGCCGUAAACGUUGGGCACU
rnacentral:rRNA from 2 species